ACCUCAGCCUCCCAAAGUGCUGGGAUUACAGGCAUGAGCCACCACACCAGGCUGAGGCUCUGCGUUUCUAACAAGCUGUCUGGUGACUACAGUGUGAGUGUGGGAACAGUGCUUUGAAAAGCCAGGCUUGAGAUGCCCCCUUACAGCCUGCAAGUGAUGUCCCUGCCUGCCUUGUGUUUGUGUGUGAUUAUAUUUGACCUAAGUUGUGCUGCUAUCAUUGUCACAGCUGAAAAGGGAUGAAGACAGCCAACUAUUAUGUGGCAGCCUUCUGGUUACCAAGAACAUGCACAAUUGUCAGAGCGGAAUCCAUGAGAUAGAAUUUAUGGGCACACAUACUUGGUGGACCAGAACUGGGAGCUGCGUGCCAUCAGCACUCCCUGUCUCUGCUCAUCCUUUCUUUCUGCUGCCUGGGCCUAACUUCUCUGGGCACAGGCUUUCUCCAGCAUCUUAGACUAAACACCAGCUAGAAUGUGGAGUUAGGCAAUCAAGUGUGAAACUUAACUUGUACUUGUCUUAGAAGCAGCAAAGGCAGCUGGGCCAGCUGAUAGACAAGGAACGCUGUCCUCCCAGAACCAGCCACGGGUGCAGAUGAUGGGCACUGCGGAGCCUGCUGUCUUACAGAAGCUGAUCCUGGAGGGUGCCUUUCAAUCCUCGAUGUCAGGAGGUUUUCUUUUAGAAAACAAUCUGAUUCAGAAUAAUGACUGCAAUUUUUCACUGGAUGGAAAACAAGUCUAGAGGAAUUGACCCUUAUUUUAAGUUCAAAGAUAGUAUAUCCUUGUUACUACUGUUACAUGUUUUAUAGCCAAUCUUCAAGACCACCUCUGGGCAAUGAAGUUAUUUGUGAUGGAAACACUUAGGUUCUUGAUUAAGUGAAUAUUAAAAAAAAAUCACUAUCAGAGAAAAGUAUACCUGAUACAAUGACUAGAACUGAAAAAUUAUGAACAAAUAGCAAAACAAUUAGUACUAUUUGACAAAAAGAAGUAAUCACCAAUAUAAAACUUUGGUAUGAUGUUCUAAACAUACGAAUAUCCACUUUUUAGCCAAACAUAAUGAUGCUUCUUUUGACACUGACUAUCCAACAUUUCUUGAGAAGAGUGGAUAGUUUCUAAGUCUAGAAGACAUGAUUUUGGAAUUUGAAGCUAGAAUGUCUGAACAUGUAGUACAGAUUAAAAAAAAACAAAUUAAAACUAUCUAGAAUGGCAAAAUAAAAAUGAAAUUAUCUUUUAAUGCAUAAUGAAGUGAGAGAAAAAAUUACAAUAAAAUAAUUUUUAAAGUUUUUUUCUAAAUUGAAAGAUAUUUCAUGUGAUACAUCUAAAGUAACAUAGCUGUAAAAUAUAAGGACAUUAGAAAAAGGAAAUGGAAAUAUUUGCAUUACUAUGAAGCUUCCUGUACAAAUAAUUCCAAAACUAAUGUAUAUAGAUACUAUUUUCUCACCAUUAUAUACUGAGAUGUCUUAAUCAUAGGUUUUCUAUGAAAUAUUUCAGCAAAGAAAAAUUUGAAAAAAUUUAUAAGUAUUGUGUGGGUUCAGGCAUUUCUUUUUCUUUCUCU
rnacentral:lncRNA from 1 species